AAUGAACGUUGGCGGCGUGGAUUAGGCAUGCAAGUCGAGCGAGAAUUUGCGAUUGGAAGCUUCGGCCGAAGAAAGUGAAGGAAGCGGCAAACGGCGUAGUAAGGCGUAGGUACGUACCCUCGGGUCGGGAAUAGCCAUGGGAAACUGUGGGUAAUGCCCGAUAAUCUCUGCGGAGCAAAGGUGUGAUUCCGCCGGAGGAGCGGCUUACGUGAUAUUAGCUAGUUGGUGGGGUAAUGGCCUACCAAGGCAACGAUGUCUAGGGGGUGUGAGAGCAUGGCCCCCCACGACCGGAACUGAGACACUGUCCGGACACCUACGGGUGGCUGCAGUCGAGAAUCUUCCGCAAUGGGCGAAAGCCUGACGGAGCGACGCCGCGUGGUGGAUGAAGGCCCUUGGGUUGUAAACACCUGUCAGAGGGGAUGAAAUCAUGGUUGGCAAUCCUUCCAUGUUGACAGAGCCUCAGAGGAAGCACGGGCUAAGUACGUGCCAGCAGCCGCGGUAA
rnacentral:rRNA from 1 species